CAAGGUGGGGGGAUCAGGGAGAGAACAGAAGCCAUGUGAAGUUCUGUUGUCCUAGAAACCUCUGUGAGUGUGGAGGAAAAGCAUGGGCCAAGAAAGUUGCUAGUGGGUGGGCAGAGUCAACAGGAGGGGCGAGACACAAAGGUGAGCGUGAGUCACACAGUUAGGGACCCUAGCCUGCCUUCCCGGAAGCUAUGUCAACACCAGCCUGCAAAGGUUCCUCAGAAUCCAGGCCUCGGUUUAUGUGAGACAACUACCGGCUUGGUAGACAGGUUUGAAACGAUUGGCUUACCAAGAAGCGGGUACACGCUGGUCCUUAUACUGUAGUCACAGUAUCCCCCAGACAGCCUGGGACCUGCCCGUCCCAAGUAGCAGUCCAACCGGUCACCAGCUUGCUGUUUUCAUUCAGGUGUUCCACACAUCUUAGUCCCCAUGCUAGCUCUGUCCUUGUGCCCCGCCCACCCCUCUUGCUCUCUGGGUCUCUGGGGGUUCUCGGUGCUCCUGAGGUGAAGGAGAAUGGUGGACACAGCCCUGCCCUCAGGAACUCCGUUCUCCCGGGGCACCUUUGGGUCCUGCGGGUCCAUCUCUCCCUGUCAGACCAUCUACACCAGGCAGUCCUGGCAGUCCUGCCUCUCCCGGCUUCCCCGGCUUCCCUGAGGUCCCUUUGGGUCCCUGGGUGGG
rnacentral:lncRNA from 1 species